rnacentral:tmRNA from 1 species
GGGGGCGAAACAGGUUCGACGGGGGCAGCGCAGGACCAGAAAGCGAGCCGAGGUCGUCACCGCCUCGUAAAAAAGGUGGCAAAAGAUAAGUGCCAACAACGAGUCUCUCGCUCUGGCCGCUUAAGCGGCCCCGUCACGCUUAGAGAACCGUGACGGAUCGCUCCUCCGGACCGCCGCCCACGCGCCGGAGUUGUAGCGUGACCCAGUGGGCUGGCCUGCCGAGCCGCCUCUGAUCGGCGGGCGAGAACAAAGGAGGCUGGCCGCCGCCGGAUCCGGCCCCGGGGAGCCGGGGGCGGCGAGAGGCAAAGCCGGGGCUGCGCUCGGAGACGUCUGGUCAGGUGCGCUCUCGGACGCGGGGGGCAGUUCCCCGCCGCCUCCACCA